AUUGAACGCUGGCGGCAUGCCUUGCACAUGCAAGUCGAACGGCAGCACGGGUGCUUGCACCUGGUGGCGAGUGGCGAACGGGUGAGUAAUACAUCGGAACGUACCUUAUCGUGGAGGAUAACGCAGCGAAAGCUGUGCUAAUACCGCAUACGCCCUGAGGGGGAAAGCGGGGGAUCGCAAGUCCUUGCGCGAUUAAACCGGCGGAUGCAUGAUUCGCUUGUUGGCGGGGUAAAAGCCCACCAAGGCGACGAUCAGUGGCUGGUCUGAGAGGACGAUCAGCCACACUGGGACUGAGACACGGCCCAGACUCCUACGGGAGGCAGCAGUGGGGAAUUUUGGACAAUGGGGGCAACCCUGAUCCAGCAAUGCCGCGUGAGUGAAGAAGGCCUUCGGGUUGUAAAGCUCUUUUGUCAGGGAAGAAACACCGGCUCUAACACAGUCCGGGAAUGACGGUACCUGAAGAAUAAGCACCGGCUAACUACGUGCCAGCAGCCGCCGUAA
rnacentral:rRNA from 1 species